CUACGGGACGCACCAGUGGGGAAUAUUGGACAAUGGGGGAAACCCUGAUCCAGCAAUGCCGCGUGUGUGAAGAAGGCCUGCGGGUUGUAAAGCACUUUCGGUUGGGAGGACUGCUUCUAGCACUAAUAUUGUUGGAAGUUGACGUUACCUUCAGAAGAAGCACCGGCUAACUCCGUGCCAGCAGCCGCGGUAAUACGGAGGGUGCAAGCGGUAAUCGGAAUUACUGGGCGUAAAGCGCGCGUAGGCGGCUAGAUCAGUCGGGUGUGAAAGCCCCGGGCUUAACCUGGGAACUGCAUCCGAUACUGUCGAGCUUGAGUACAGGAGAGGAGAGUGGAAUUCCACAUGUAGCGGUGAAAUGCGUAGAUAUGUGGAGGAACACCAAUGGCGAAGGCAGCUCUCUGGCCUGAUACUGACGCUGAGGUGCGAAAGCGUGGGGAGCAAACAGGAUUAGAUACCCCAGUACUC
rnacentral:rRNA from 1 species